UAGAAUAGGUUUCUCAAGGGUGGUCAGCUAAUCCCCUAAUGAAAGGGGGUGAUGCUGUGACGGUAUUUGAAGCAUUGAUGUUUGCAUGUGCUUUUGCAAGCUUAAUUGUUGCAAUCCUGUCUUUUACCAAUAAAAAAUAACCCACCCUUGAGCCUAGCAGCCAGGUGGAUUAUUUCCCUCUAUAGCUGAUCCCCUUUUAAGGGACCUUCUAUUGUAUCGACCGUUUGGUGUUACCAGCACCAGCG
rnacentral:sRNA from 1 species